AUAAAUAAAUAAAUAAAUAAGAAGAAAGUAAACCAAGUAGGGCAAAGAACUACCCGCCGAAAAGGAACAUAGCCAAAUUCAAGCCAGAACUCACCUAUUUAGAAAUAAAAUCAAACGCUGUCCCUCUUCAUCUCUUUCUCAACCCCAAACCUUAUAUAUGCCUGAUCCCAUUUGAUGGACAUAUGUUUCGCAUUAGCUUAAGGCAGUAGACACACAGAGCAACUUCUCCAAAGGCAAUUCCCACUACUACUCGUAAAUAUUACUUACCACUUCGAGACAAAAGGUUAUCUGUGUGGUUUAGGAUCUAAAAACCAUCUCUCAUACCUUGCCAAGUAGUUUUGUUAUUAUUAUUGGCUGCUCGGGUCCGGAUUUGAACUCGAGCCUCAUAAUAAGUAAUGGGCUCUUUAACAGAGGAAAAAUUAUAAAUUAAAUUAAAUUCACAAAAUUGUCACUUGGAAAAUGCAGCAUGACCUUCUAUUUGUUAUUUGCUCAUUUUUAAAUCUUUUCUCCUCUAUUUUCUUGUUCAUACCUCUUCUUUGCCAUGCACCAAAACAAGAGAGGGGAAAAAAGAGCUUGCAUGUUCAAUGAAAGAAAAAAAAGAAAAGAAAAAAAACAAAUAAUGGCCAUCCUGAUUUUUCCAUCGGCAAAUAUAUAUACAUAAUAAAACACCAGAAGUUCCUAUUUAAUCAAUAUAUGCAUACAUAUUUCUGUUGUACCUCACAGAAGUUUAAAUCUAUUCUUUAAUAAAUAAAAGUUGAAACUCAAGGUCCAGACAUUUUAAAUCGUCAAUUGAAUAUUAAUUUCACAGUUGAAGCGAAAUCGGCUUACCCGUGGGAGAAUCAGAAAUCUUAAAGCCUUUUGCCACUGCCAGCUGCUUCCUUCGCCAUGGCCGGAAAAUAAAUGAAGAGUACUCAGACGUGCGCGACAUUAAGAGGAGUACUCUGCAGCCUGUCAAGCACCUGGAAACAUCACAAAUCAGGCAAAUCAAGCCUCCAAAGGUUCCAUCACCAUGUUUUCCUACCUAGAUUUUCUGGCUUUUUGAAGCAAAACCAAUGCCUUGGAAGGCUUUUCUGCGGGUUAAAUGAAGGUGACGAAGCAUGAGCCUUACCAGCGCUAAUUGAUUUCUCUCAUCUAAUCUACUUUCUUUCCGUCAUCGUCGACAUGCCGUCCCCCUCACCACACCAUUAUCACUUGGAAAGUACCUUCUUCUCACUCCUUACUACUCUGACUCCCCAUUUGCUCCAUCUCACUCUUUCUCUGGCUCGUCUCCUCUGUGAAAACGACCGAUAGUAGCUUUCUCCGUCUGUGAGACCCAAUUAAAUGACCAAAGCACGCCCAGAAAACAUCUCCAUUAAAUUCUCAUGUUUGCCCACACACGAUAGCACGUAACAGCAACAGACUGGAGGGCAUUUUAGUCACUUCAAUCUAGCCGCUUACCGUAUCAUGGUACAAUGAUCAGCCGAAACAGGGCGUAAAGAAAAGAGACACAGCUGUUGGCAAUUACAAAGGUUAAACUCAGGGGAGAGGCAGAGGAGAAAACAGAGUAAUCGGCAAUUAAUCACUUUUGUCAUGAAAAUGACUAAUCAUGCUUAUCCAGAAGAUUCAAACUUGAAACCUUCUGGUUGAAAUCUCCAUCUUUCACAGUUCGGCUGUCCACUUACGAGAGUAACUCAUGCUUUGAUUUCGGUAUAUAAAUUUCUUUUGGGAAAUAAGAAAUCCCGACACAAGUGAAGGGAUGAGAUGAGUCGACAAGCAAUCAUGCAAACUUCCACUAUAAAUGUAAUAAAGACGAGCCAAUUAUAAUCAUUGAAGCCCAUUAACGUAAGAGCAUCAUCUACUUGCCUCAAUCUCAUCCUCUUCUCUUUUCUGCAAUGCAAAAGAUGAUGGUUCAAUGUCUCUAUCACUUUUCUUUUCCU
rnacentral:misc_RNA from 1 species